rnacentral:rRNA from 1 species
UAGGGAAUCUUCCGCAAUGGGCGAAAGCCUGACGGAGCAACGCCGCGUGAGUGAUGAAGGUCUUCGGAUCGUAAAACUCUGUUAUUAGGGAAGAACAAAUGUGUAAGUAACUAUGCACGUCUUGACGGUACCUAAUCAGAAAGCCACGGCUAACUACGUGCCAGCAGCCGCGGUAAUACGUAGGUGGCAAGCGUUAUCCGGAAUUAUUGGGCGUAAAGCGCGCGUAGGCGGUUUUUUAAGUCUGAUGUGAAAGCCCACGGCUCAACCGUGGGGGGUCAUUGGAAACUGGAAAACUUGAGUGCAGAAGAGGAAAGUGGAAUUCCAUGUGUAGCAGUGAAAUGCGCAGAGAUAUGGAGGAACACCAGUGGCGAAGGCGACUUUCUGGUCUGUAACUGACGCUGAUGUGCGAAAGCGGGGGGAUCAAACAGG